CCAUGUAUUUAUUAUGUGAAAGAUAACAUAUGGGCGACAUGCACAGUGAAAUGUAAUUAGACAUAAAACAAGCCACAGACGGGAGAAGCUGCCAAGAGCCUACGACAUGAUAAUGACAAUGCUUUGAGUGGUAUCGUUUAUUUUACAAUCUAUCACUGCAGCGGCUUGCCCCGGUCACCUGCUGAACAAGAACAGGCCGUGUAAACACGGAGUUGGAAGCUCAUUCGGAGAUGCCUUGCCAGGCGUCAUCUUUAGUUCCUGUGGCUUUUCCAAGGUGAGGAGCAACGGCUUCCACAGGUGACAGUCUUGCUUUGAGAACUUCCCGGACUUCUGGACUGCUCUGUGCCUCUGGUGCCCACUGUUCAGAAUGGGAAAGAUCCACACAGGAAGUCUAGGCAAGAGCACCUGGAAAUGUGGGAAUCAUAGGAAGUCUAACGUCAAGUGUAAUCAACGGAAGAGCCAACACCCCAGGCUGCACUUCACCACCUGGUUCUAAGAUUCUGGGGUUGCGGGGAGCAAGUUCCCCUCACCUCAAGGCUCUCCCAUCCUGCCUUUCCUUCCCAGGUUCUCCCUGUGCCCCACUGUCUAAGAUUUAGGCCCUCUCCAUU